GUUGCCUUUGCCUCUUUUAUGAUCUUCCAAUUUAUAGCUUCCCAGGACUUAUUUCCUGCAUUAUCUACAAAUACAGGAAAAGCACUAGAUUCCAAGAGCUGAAAAUCCCCUUCAGAGGCAGCAGCCUUGUGAGGGGGGUCCUU